rnacentral:rRNA from 1 species
CGGUUGGCCUGUUAAUUGAUGCUCGUGUGGUUUUAUCCGUGGCCGGCAAAUGUGUACGUGUAAUGGCGCUCUGGCGCUGGACUAGUGAUCAGACCACCUUGUGGACGUUUACAGGUGUGUGCUCUGUCUUCGGGCUUAGUAUCCUGAUCGACCAUCAAAACGGUCAAACUGGAACUGGUACGGACUCGGGGAAUCCGACUGUCUAAUUAAAACAGAGGAGACAGAUGGUCCUUGCGGACGUUUACUGUCUCUGAUUUCUGCCCAGUGCUCUGAAUGUUAAAUCGUAGUAAUUCGAGUAAGCGCGGGUAAACGGCGGGAGUAACUAUGACUCUCUUAAGGUAGCCAAAUGCCUCGUCAGCUAACUACUGACGCGCAUGAAUGGAUUAACGAGAUUCCCACUGUCCCUAACUACUAUCUAGCGAAACCACAGCCAAGGGAACGGGCUUGGCAAAAAUAGCGGGGAAAGAAGACCCUGUUGAGCUUGACUCUAGUUUGACAUUGUGAAGAAUCAUGAGAGGUGUAGCAUAGGUGGGAGAUUUCGGUCGCCAAUGAAAUACCACCACUUUCAUCGAUUCUUUACUUAUUCGGUGAGAAGAGGAUUGAGUUUCGACUCAUUUUUUAUUUGUCUUAAGUAGAGUCACCUGGUGGCAUUACGACUCUCGCCGAAGACAGUGUCAGGCGGGGAGUUUGACUGGGGCGGUACAUCUGUCAAACUGUAACGCAGGUGUCCUAAGGUUAGCUCAGAGAGGACGGAAACCUCUCGUAGAGCAAAAGGGCAAAAGCUCGCUUGAUCUUGACUUUCAGUACGAGUACAGACCGCGAAAGCGUGGCCUAUCGAUCCUUUUAAUCCAGAUUGUUUCUGGUAAGAGGUGUCAGAAAAGUUACCACAGGGAUAACUGGCUUGUGGCAGCCAAGCGUCC